AGUUGAUGAAUAAAGAAAUCUCAAGCUCUUCUACAAAUGACGCUGUGGGAGAACUGGAGCAGCAGCUUAAAAGAGCCUUGGAAGAACUUCAAGAAGCAUUAGCAGAAAAAGAAGAGCUGAGGCAGAGAUGCCAAGAACUUGAUAUGCAGGUAGUUUCUGUGUGAGCAUUUGAAGACCCCUCAAAAUAAAGCACUCAGAUCAGGGCCUGGCACAUAACGCCAUGGGUA